GGUCCGGCCGCGCAUGCGCUGAGCUGGCGGGCCCGAGUGUUGUCGGCUGGGAAAUGGCGGCCGCGGGCUUGGUCGCUGUGGCAGCGGCUGCCGAGUACUCUGGCACGGUAGCGUCGGGAGGUAACCUCCCUGGUGUUCACUGCGGCCCAAGCUCCGGGGCAGGCCCUGGUUUUGGCCCGGGCUCGUGGAGCCGCUCUCUCGAUCGAGCCCUGGAGGAGGCGGCGGUCACUGGGGUGCUGAGCCUGAGCGGCCGGAAACUGAGGGAGUUUCCCCGGGGAGCGGCCAACCACGACCUGACGGACACCACCCGGGCGGGAUGUGAGCUGCAAUGAAAUUCAAACUAUACCUUCCCAAAUUGGUAACCUGGAGGCCUUGAGAGACCUUAAUGUAAGAAGAAAUCACCUAGUACAUUUGCCUGAAGAGCUGGCGGAGUUGCCUUUGAUACGGUUAGACUUCUCAUGCAAUAAAAUUACCACAAUCCCUGUUUGUUAUCGGAACCUCAGGCACCUACAGACGAUCACCCUAGAUAACAAUCCACUACAAUCACCUCCUGCACAGAUAUGUAUAAAAGGCAAAGUCCACAUAUUUAAAUACCUGAACAUACAAGCUUG
rnacentral:lncRNA from 1 species